CUAUCAAUCCCAAAGUCCUUAGGUCUUCAGCAAAGCUUGGACCACUUGGCAAAGUCUUCUGUCUCCAGAGGAAUGAUGGGAAAACUAUGGGACAAAAGUCAGGAGAGUGGUGCUGGCUGAUCCUGGCCUGGACAUUGACUCCCUGGGGACUUUGGUGCUCUCUCGUGCUCUCUCUGUCUCCAGUGAUAAGCUGACCAGAUGCCUUGAAUUAAGUACAGGGUCACCAACAUCUCUAAUAGAAUCCAACUGUGGAAUAGAAAAACUAUUUCGUCUAAGAAGUGGAUCCUAGCUGUCAAAUAAAAAAUCGCUGUUGAAUGCUGUAAAGUACAUUUUUA
rnacentral:lncRNA from 1 species